rnacentral:lncRNA from 1 species
UGACUUUUUUCCCAUUUAAACGGAUAAUUUGCAUUGGAUCGAGAUAAUUUGACAAAUUGUGGGAAAUGAUAUGAGUAAUAGUAAUUAAAUCAGUAAAUCGUUCUCAUUAUUUCUUUAAACGAUGUUUAUACGCAUGUAGAAUACGUAAAGAUAUUCUAACAACAUACGUCUAUUGAAUGAAAAUGAUUUCGAAUAACAAUGGUCGGAAAAUUCUCCCGGUUCUUUCCAAGUUCAAUGCGACGAGAAGUAUCCCCUUUAUUUUCUUUUCUUUUCUUUUUUUCUUUUUGUCAUGUUAUAUUUGCUCGUAUAGAAUAACAAGUGGGGGGGUUCAGCUGAUAAAAAUAAUCUUUCUUUUCGUUCUUUUUAAGGAAGACUUUUUUUUAUGUUAGAAAUCGUAUUCUAAAUUUGCAAGGCAAACUAAUCUCAUUGUCAAAUAUGAAUUCGUCGUUAAACUUCGUAGAAUCUUAUUCGCAAGUAUUUAAUCGUCAUGAUUUUUCUGAACGAGUAGGGCGUGUGUUGUUGGUGUAUAUAAAAGAACUGUAAGCACCCAGCAUCUCUUCAUUACGAAAGUGUAUUUCUUAUAACGUACAAGUUCUAAUACUUUUUUCAAAUAGAAAAUAUUUCCUCGAGGAUAAAUAAUCAUUUUGAAUAAAAAAAAAGAAGAAAAAGAAGAAUUAAUUAUGUGUUACUGUGUAUCACAAUAACUGGGGAGAUAUUUGAAAGAAAAAUUUCAUUGAUAUCAGGUCAAUAGUAUCCUGAAAUUAUCGAAGUGAGUACAGUAGUGCAUAAAUUGGAGCAGUAAUUAAUUUAAAAAGUAAAAAGAAAAACAACAAGUUUGAUUUCUUUUUUUACGCUCACAUCAAUCGAAAAAUUGAGAAGAUGAAAACUUUCUUUUUCUUUUUUUUAUUAAUUGGCAACGUUAUUUGUGCCCCAUGGUUGGAUUUACUUCUUGGAGAACAAGCUUAUCCCGCUCAUAGAUCUGAUUAUUAUUUGAAUCAACGUUACAAUCAACGACAAGGAAGAGGUGGAAAAGAACGUUGGAAGCAAAUUUGCAGGACUAUAAAUGGAGAUCCUUAUACAUUUCCAGGACAAGUACCUUAUCCCGCUGCUCCAGUGUGUCCAUGGUAAAAUGAUAUUUCGAAAUUUGUCUUAAGUUGAUGACAUUAUCCGUGCCAAAAUAGUAAUAUGAUUAUUAAAGGUAUAAUAACAACAAAUGUGUUAGUUUUAAAAAUAUGAAUUUAUUAUAAUAAUGUUCUAAACUCUAUUUAAAAGAGUAUUUCAGUCAGAUAUAGACAUUAGUCCUAAAUAAGCAUUAAUACUAGAGUCACGGAUUGCCUAUCUGUCGUGCAUGACGAGUGUAUGUAUACACGUGUAUUUGAAUGUGUGUUAUUAUGCAAAAAAUAGGCAAGCAUAAAAAUAAGAAAAGCUUUGUACAUCAUUCAUCGAUUUCCUUAUUCCAAUAAGAAACCAGUUCUCCAGUCAUACGUGUAGAUGUUAUUGAUUACGUAUCACUUAAUCGUAUUGGAAUACUCUCUAUUAUCGAGUAUGUACUUAUGUAACGUACAAAAAUAAAUUAUUUACAGUA